UACGGAGGAUCCAAGCGUUGUCCGGAUUUAUUGGGUUUAAAGGGUGCGUAGGCGGAUCUUUAAGUCAGUGGUGAAAGCCUGCAGCUUAACUGUAGAACAGCCAUUGAAACUGAAGAUCUUGAAUGUGGUUAAAGUAGGCGGAAUGUAUCAUGUAGCGGUGAAAUGCUUAGAUAUGGUACAGAACACCGAUAGCGAAGGCAGCUUGCUGAACCAUUAUUGACGCUGAGGCACGAAAGCGUGGGGAGCAAACAGG
rnacentral:rRNA from 1 species